AGAGUGUUUUCUGCUAGCGAUGUUCAGUGUUUUGGUUUUCAUCUUUCAAAUGUUUCAAGAUAGAAUAACAAGUUUGAAACCGACCACACCGCGGGAACUGUUUUCACAAUACUUCCGCGCCGCCGCUAUAAUAAGCAUAUGCAUUUGGAAUAUAAAUGUUGAAACGUAUUCAACGCUUGUCAAAGUUGAUAAUUUAUAUUGUACGUUUAUAGAGAAAAACAUAACUACGUCUAUAAAUUAUCCACUCCUGCAGGUAACAAUAUAUUAAGCUAUACAAUUUUUAAAUAUAUACACACAUCGAGGUGAUUAUUCGCUCGUUCAAAUGCAAUGCCAUGGAGCAAUCUCCAAAGUGACGAUGGAAGUUGCGAUGAACAAGAUUUGGUCACUACAUGUUUGAGUGUCUAUCAAAACGUCUGUUCAUAGACGACGAAAUUAUUAAAGAAUGGUAUGUAACAUUAUAUGAUAAAACUGCUAGGUGGUCCGACUUGCUCAGUCGGUAGAACUGAAAAAUAAUUUGACUAUUUACAAUUAAUUAAUUAUAAGAUAAAUGUCAUUAGCUCUAGCUAAUAAAUUAAUAUCAUGUAUUCAUCUAUUAAUGUAAAAGUAUAGAAAUUAAGCAAAAAUCACAAUACUCCAAUUGUCAUUACUCGUUA